AAAGCACUUUCAGUCAGGAGGAAAGGGUGUGAGUUAAUACCUCACAUCUGUGACGUUACUGACAGAAGAAGCACCGGCUAACUCCGUGCCAGCAGCCGCGGUAAUACGGAGGGUGCGAGCGUUAAUCGGAAUUACUGGGCGUAAAGCGUACGCAGGCGGUUUGUUAAGCGAGAUGUGAAAGCCCCGGGCUCAACCUGGGAACUGCAUUUCGAACUGGCAAACUAGAGUGUGAUAGAGGGUGGUAGAAUUUCAGGUGUAGCGGUGAAAUGCGUAGAGAUCUGAAGGAAUACCGAUGGCGAAGGCAGCCACCUGGGUCAACACUGACGCUCAUGUACGAAAGCGUGGGGAGCAAACGGGAUUAGAUACCCCGGUAGUCCACGCCGUAAACGAUGUCUACUAGAAGCUCGGAACCUCGGNUCUGUUUUUCAAAGCUAACGCAUUAAGUAGACCGCCUGGGGAGUACGGCCGCAAGGUUAAAACUCAAUAUGAAUUGACGGGGGCCCGCAC
rnacentral:rRNA from 1 species